GAUGAACGCUGGCGGCGUGCCUAAUACAUGCAAGUCGAACGGGAGGCUUCAUUUCGGUGGAGCUGAGAGUGGCGCACGGGUGAGUAACACAUGGCUGACCUGCCCUUCAGAGGGGGACAACCAGUGGAAACGCUGGCUAAUACCCCAUACGUUCUUCGGGAUUAGAAGCCGGAGAAGAAAGCGUUAGUGCUGAAGGAGGGGGCUGUGGCCCAUCAGCUGGUUGGUAGGGUAACGGCCUACCAAGGCGAGGACGGGUAGGGGGCCUGAGAGGGUGACCCCCCACACGGGUACUGAGAGACGGACCCGACUCCUACGGGAGGCUG
rnacentral:rRNA from 1 species